rnacentral:lncRNA from 10 species
CCCAGCUCUGAAGUCUGUCAGCCUCUUCAGAUGUCACUUGCCAUGUGGUAAGGAAGUGUAGUCAGCAGCUGGUGCAGUGGGAAGAAGAGAAAGGAAGUUCCCCAAGACAAAAACAUCUCGGCAGACCGUGAUCAUGGGCUACAUUCUCCGUACCAGCUUCAUAGCUCCAGUGAGAAAAUAAAUUCCUGCAUCCAGGAGAUGUGGAGUAAGAGAUACAGCUGCCCUUGACCAUAUUUCUUACUUCCGAGAAGAUCGUAGCAGUAAUUCAGUACAGUCUUCAGGGAACACCAAGGCCUGUUUGAUUUUCCAAGUAUCAACAAGUGGAGUUGACAAGAGUGACAAGUGGUCAGAGCAAAGCAUUUCAUGAUGACUGUAACGUGCCUGUGUCAGCAGCGACUGCUUACAGUGAGAUUCACAUGACCAUCGUUUAUGACAUAGGAAGAAUAAAAGGAGAGAGAGAGAGAAAGAUAGGUAGUUGAUCAAAAUGAAGAAUUGGAUUUGGAAAGCAACUUCGAAUAGUCUCUGCUUAUAUUUCUGAGAUUAAGGCAAACAGUCUCAAGAAUCUCAUCCAGGAUACCUCAUCACAGGCUGGAGUGCAGUGUCAUGAGCUUGGCUCACUACAGCCUCCAUCUUCUGUGCUUAAGGAUCCUUCCCUCUCAACCUCCAAGGUAGCUGAGACUACAGGCAACAUUCGAAACCCAGGUGCCACUCCUUCAGGAAGGUACCAUCAAGCUCCAAGGACUCAUCCUCUUUCUCCUUCCCCACUACCUAGUCAUUAGAGCGUCAGCAUCCACUUCCUGAAAGGAAGAUGCCUGUUUUUCACAUAUCCCAGAAAGCCUCAUUUUAGGACAGCAUUUAGCAGAGUGUAUUCAGGAUCCCACUAACCUUUUCGGAAGACAUGACUUCCAGAUGAUAUAAGGCAAGAAUAAGAAAUUUCAGUGACAGGGAACAGAAAUCAUAUUUCUGCAUUCAGGAUCAUGUUUUCUUGGCUCCAUCAGGAACUGUGCAGGACUGUGCACUCUGUUGAUACUCACAUGGUGGAAUUAUAUUGCCCUUGGCCAACCCUAAAGCCAUCAAGAUAGCAGGUUUGGAAUAAUUCACUGUCGAAGUCUUCUUGAGCUGAGCAGUCAUGUGAGCUUGGAAGAUGAUCCCUCUCCAGCUGAUCCUUCAGCUCAGGCCAUCAUCUACAUCUGGAUUCCUGACCCGGAGAAACUAUGAGUAAUGUGUGCUGCUUUUGAGCCACUAAGCUACAUGGUAAUAGGCUAUGCUUCAAUAAAC